ACGGGCGAGUAACACGUGCAUAACCUGCCCUGGAGAGGGGGACAACUGCGGAAACGCAGCUAAUCCGCCAUACGCUUACGGGAAUGAGAAAACUGUAAGGAAAUGAUUUAUCGCUCUAGGAGGGGUGCGCGGACCACCAGUUAGUUGGUAGGGUAAUGGCCUACCAAGACAAAGACGGAUAGCCGGCCUGAGAGGGUGACCGGCCGCAAUGGGACUGAGACACGGCCCAUACCCCUACGGGGGGCAGCAGUGGGGAAUAUUGGACAAUGGGGGAAACCCUGAUCCAGCAACUCCGCGUGGAGGAUGAAGCCUUAAGGGGUGUAAACUUCUUUUCUGGGGGAAGACGACUGACUGUACCCCAGGAAUAAGAGACGGCUAACUACGUGCCAGCAGCCGCGGUAAUACGUAGGUCUCGAGCGUUAUCCGGAAUUACUGGGCGCAAAGAGUCCGUAGCCUGUUUAAUAAGUCUGCUUUCAAAAACCUGGGCUCAACUUAGGGGGGGGGGUAGAUACUGUUAAGCUGGAGAUAAUUGGAGGUUAGUGGAAUUUCCGGUGGAGGGGUGAAAUCUGUUGA
rnacentral:rRNA from 1 species